AUUGAACGCUGGCGGCAUGCUUUACACAUGCAAGUCGAACGGCAGCGGGGGCUUCGGUCCGCCGGCGAGUGGCGAACGGGUGAGUAAUGCAUCGGAACGUGCCCAGUCGUGGGGGAUAACACAUCGAAAGAUGUGCUAAUACCGCAUACGUCCUGAGGGAGAAAGCGGGGGAUCUUCGGACCUCGCGCGAUUGGAGCGGCCGAUGUCGGAUUAGCUAGUUGGUGGGGUAAAAGCCCACCAAGGCGACGAUCCGUAGCGGGUCUGAGAGGAUGAUCCGCCACACUGGGACUGAGACACGGCCCAGACUCCUACGGGAGGCAGCAGUGGGGAAUUUUGGACAAUGGGGGCAACCCUGAUCCAGCCAUGCCGCGUGAGUGAAGAAGGCCUCGGUGUAAGACUCUUCGUCGGAAGAAAUACGCCGCCUCUAACACUAGCGGUGGAGUGACGGUACC
rnacentral:rRNA from 1 species